GAUUAUGGCUCAGGAUGAACGCUGGCGGCGUGCCUAACACAUGCAAGUCGAACGAGCGAGAGAUGAAACCUAGUGAUUCUCGAGCGAGUGGCGGACGGGUGAGUAACGCGUGGGUAACCUGCCUUACAGAGGGGGAUAACAGUCUGAAAAGACUGCUAAUACCGCAUAAGCACACAGUACCGCAUGGUACAGGGUGAAAAGAUUUAUCACUGUAAGAUGGACCCGCGUCUGAUUAGCCAGUUGGCAGGGUAACGGCCUACCAAGCGACGAUCAGUAGCCGACCUGAGAGGGUGAUCGGCCACAUUGGGACUGAGACACGGCCCAAACUCCUACGGGAGGCAGCAGUGGGGGAUAUUGCACAAUGGAGGAAACUCUGAUGCAGCGAACCGCCGCGUGAGUGAAGAAGUAUUUCGGUAUGUAAAGCUCUAUCAGCAGGGAAGAUAAUGACAGUACCUGACCAAGAAGCCCCGGCUAACUACGUGCCAGCCGCUGC
rnacentral:rRNA from 1 species